AUUGAACGCUGGCGGCAGGCCUAACACAUGCAAGUCGAGCGGGGUUUUCGGACCUAGCGGCGGACGGGUGAGUAAUGCGUAGGAAGCUGCCCGAUAGAGGGGGGAUACCAGUUGGAAACGACUGUUAAUACCGCAUGAUGUCUACGGACCAAAGUGUGGGACCUUCGGGCCACAUGCUAUCGGAUGCGCCUACGUGGGAU
rnacentral:rRNA from 1 species